ACUGAUAUCUACUAAGCCCCAGCCAAAAUCCCAUGCCCAAAUCUGAUAUCUCCUCCUAACCAAAUGUGGCAGACUGACAGCCUUUCCAAGCCACAGUUCGACGCUGCACAGAAUUGUUCCGGACGUGGUUUGAGCCCUGCCCAGACACGAUGUCUGCUCUUUUCCUCCGGUGGGACAAUAUCUGUGUUGCUCAUCUCUGUGAUUGGUCUGUAUAGUCCUGGAUUGGAAGCACCUGCUAUCUGCCAGUGAUCUACACAGUCCUUGAUUUGAAGCCCUUGCAUUGUGAUCCGAUAUAUAUAUAUAUAUGUAUAUAUAUCUGGCCGAUUGUGAAGGAACAGGUUCCGAAGCAGGUCCGGAUACUCUUCCUCUACCGGGUGGCGGGCUAUCUGUAGGGUUGUUAUGGUCCUUCUGAACAGGAUUGAUGCUGUUGGUGGCCUCAGGGGCUAAGCUAGAGUAAUCCUCUAGCUCCCACCAAGCUCCCAAAAUGGAAUUUUGAUGGAUCAAGUGCUGGGCAAGACACCAGGGGAUGAUAGUGAAGUGGUCAUAAAGUAGGUUCUGGUCACUUACUGUGCUCUUGUGUUUGUUUCAGAUUGGAUUUUUGUUUUGAAAUGUUCGGUAUUGAGCAAGAAUACACCCUAUAACCCUAUUGAAGAAAGAGGUCAACUAGCCUAUUGGGUGGCCCACUGAAGGAUGUCCAGGACCGCAAGUUAGCUUAUAUAUAUCUUUAGGGCCCUUACUACUGUGGUGUUGGUGCUGAUAAAGCCUUUGGACGUGACAUAGUUAAUGCUCAUUACAUAGCAUGUCUGUAUGCUGGUAUUUACAUAAGCGGCAUAAAUGGGGAGGUUAUGCCUGGACAGGGUAUAUCCUUCAUUAGUUAAACAGGCAUGGAAGACCGAAGGGAUGGCUGUGGUGUUGAUACAUGGAGUCAGGCAGGCGAUUCAAGACAUGAACAUAAAUAAGGUCCUUCAUAUGUGUUUGCAUCGCCCGAGUUCUGAAGUACAACUUACUUUUACAAAAGACACCUCAACUUAUGCUGCCUUCUGACUGCUCUGUAUGUGUCUGCUUCCGGACACUCAAUGACUAAAUAUUUCAGCACACUGAAGCUCUUAGGUUGUAUUUAAUCAUCGCAGUAACUUAAGAUAAAUAUAAUUUAUAAAAAAUAUUGUCUGAAAAAUUGUAAAUUGGAAUCGCAUAGCCCAUUGUUGUCAGUGUAAACUUAUUUGUUUGGC